AUUGAACGCUGGCGGCAUGCCUUACACAUGCAAGUCGAACGGCAGCACGGGUGCUUGCACCUGGUGGCGAGUGGCGAACGGGUGAGUAAUACAUCGGAACAUGUCCUGUAGUGGGGGAUAGCCCGGCGAAAGCCGGAUUAAUACCGCAUACGAUCUACGGAUGAAACCGGGGGCCCUUCGGGCCUCGCGCUUUAGGGUUGGCCGAUGGCUGAUUAGCUAGUUGGUGGGGUAAAGGCCUACCAAGGCGACGAUCAGUAGCUGGUCUGAGAGGACGACCAGCCACACUGGGACUGAGACACGGCCCAGACUCCUACGGGAGGCAGCAGUGGGGAAUUUUGGACAAAGGGCGAAAGCCUGAUCCAGCAAUGCCGCGUGUGUGAAGAAGGCCUUCGGGUUGUAAAGCACUUUUGUCCGGAAAGAAAUCCUUGGCCCUAAUACGGUCGGGGGAUGACGGUACCGGAAGAAUAAGCACCGGCUAACUACGUG
rnacentral:rRNA from 1 species